AGGACGAACGCUGGCGGCGUGCUUAACACAUGCAAGUCGAACGGAUCACUUUCGGGUGGUUAGUGGCGAACGGGUGAGUAACACGUGGGUAACCUGCCCCUCACUCUGGGAUAACUCCGGGAAACCGGGGCUAAUACUGGAUAUGACCUCAUGCUGCAUGGUGUGGGGUGGAAAGUUUUUCGGUGGGGGAUGGGCCCGCGGCCUAUCAGCUUGUUGGUGGGGUGAUGGCCUACCAAGGCGUCGACGGGUAG
rnacentral:rRNA from 1 species